CGGCAGGCCUAACACAUGCAAGUCGAGGGGUAACAGGGAGCUUGCUCCGCUGACGACCGGCGCACGGGUGCGCAACGCGUAUGCAAUCUACCUCUUACUAAGGGAUAGCCCAGAGAAAUUUGGAUUAAUAUCUUAUGUGAUAUUAGACUGGCAUCGGUUUAAUAUUAAAGGUUACGGUAAGAGAUGAGCAUGCGUCUCAUUAGUUAGUUGGUAAGGUAACGGCUUACCAAGACUUCGAUGAGUAGGGGUCCUGAGAGGGAGAUCCCCCACACUGGUACUGAGACACGGACCAGACUCCUACGGGAGGCAGCAGUGAGGAAUAUUGGACAAUGGACGGAAGUCUGAUCCAGCCAUGCCGCGUGUAGGAAGACUGCCCUAUGGGUUGUAAACUACUUUUAUACAGGAAGAAUAAGAUCUACGUGUAGAUUGAUGACGGUACUGUAAGAAUAAGGACCGGCUAACUCCGUGCCAGCAGCCGCGGUAAUACGGAGGGUCCGAGCGUUAUCCGGAAUUAUUGGGUUUAAAGGGUCCGUAGGCGGGCUGUUAAGUCAGAGGUGAAAUGCUGCGGCUCAACCGUAUGCACUGCCUUUGAUACUGGCGGUCUUGAGUUAUAGUGAAGUGGCUAGAAUAAGUAGUGUAGCGGUGAAAUGCAUAGAUAUUACUUAGAAUACCGAUUGCGAAGGCAGGUCACUAACUAUACACUGACGCUGAUGGACGAAAGCGUGGGUAGCGAACAGGAUUAGAUACCCUGGUAGUCCACGCCGUAAACGAUGGAUACUAGCUGUUCGGUUUUCGGACUGAGCGGCCAAGCGAAAGUGAUAAGUAUCCCA
rnacentral:rRNA from 1 species